rnacentral:rRNA from 1 species
CGGGAUACCCGAGGGAAACUUCGGUUAAUACGGUAUAAGACCACACUACCGCAUGGUAGAGGGGUAAAAGGGGCAACCUGGUAUGAGAUGGACUCGCGUCGCAUUAGCUAGUUGGUGAGGUAACGGCCCACCAAGGCGACGAUGCGUAGCCGACCUGAGAGGGUGAUCGGCCACAUUGGGACUGAGAUACGGCCCAGACUCCUACGGGAGGCAGCAGUGGGGAAUAUUGGGCAAUGGAGGAAACUCUGACCCAGCAAUGCCGCGUGAAUGAAGAAGGUCUUCGGAUUGUAAAGUUCUUUAGUCAGGGAAGAAGUCAAUGACGGUACCUGAAGAAUAAGCUCCGGCUAACUACGUGCCAGCAGCCGCGGUAAUACGUAGGGAGCAAGCGUUGUUCGGAAUGACUGGGCGUAAAGGGUGCGUAGGCGGUUGUACAAGUUAGAAGUGAAAUACCCAGGGCUUAACUCGGGUGCUGCUUCUAAAACUGUAUGACUUGAGUGCAGUAGAGGUUAGUGGAAUUCCUAGUGUAGCGGUGGAAUGCGUAGAUAUUAGGAGGAACACCAGAGGCGAAGGCGGCUAACUGGACUGCAACUGACGCUGAGGCACGAAAGUGUGGGGAGCAAACAGGAUUAGAUACCCUGGUAGUCCACACUGUAAACGAUGGAUACUAGAUGUAGGAGGUAUCGACUCCUUCUGCGUCGCAG